AGUGAACGCUGGCGGCGUGCCUAAUACAUGCAAGUCGAACGGAGCGGCGCACGGGUGAGUAAUAUAUAGCUAAUCUGCCUCUUGCUGGAGGACAACAGCUAGAAAUGACUGCUAAUACUCCAUAGCAAGGGCGGAGACUAUAUCGUAUCAGCUAGUCGGUGGGGUAACGGCCUACCGAGGGUACGACGCGUAACUGGUCUGAGAGGAUAAUCAGUCGCAUUGGAACUGAGGCACGGUCCGAGAUCCUUCGGGAAGGGGCAGUAGGGAGUAUUACGCAAUGGGGGGAACCCUAGAGGAGCAACGCCGCGUGGAGGAUGACACGUUUCGGGGCGUAAACUCCUUUUGUUAGGGGAGCGGUACCUAACGAAUAAGCACCGGCUAACUCCGUGCCAGCAGCCGCGGUAAUUC
rnacentral:rRNA from 1 species